rnacentral:misc_RNA from 1 species
GAUGAAGAACGUAGCGAAAUGCGAUAAGUAGUGUGAAUUGCAGAAUUCAGUGAAUCAUCGAAUCUUUGAACGCACAUUGCGCCCCUUGGUAUUCCAUGGGGCAUGCCUGUUCGAGCGCCAUCUACAACCCUCAAGCCCUGCUUGGUGUUGGGCGUCUGUCCCGCCCCCGCGCGCGGACUCGCCCCAAAUCCAUUGGCGGCGGCCCUUGCCUCCCUCUCGCGCAGCACAUUGCGCUUCUCGAGGCGUCGCGGGCCGCGCUCCACGAAGCACGCAAACCAGUCUUUGACCUCGGAUCAGGUAGGGAUACCCGCUGAACUUAAGCAUAUCAAUAAGCGGAGGA